rnacentral:rRNA from 1 species
UACGUAGGGAGCAAGCGUUGUCCGGAUUUAUUGGGCGUAAAGAGCUCGUAGGCGGCUUAGCAAGUCAGAUGUGAAAACUCCAGGCUCAACCUGGAGACGCCAUUUGAUACUGCUAUGGCUUGAGUUCGGUAGGGGACCAUGGAAUUCCUGGUGUAGCGGUGAAAUGCGCAGAUAUCAGGAGGAACACCGAUGGCGAAGGCAGUGGUCUGGGCCGAUACUGACGCUGAGGAGCGAAAGCGUGGGGAGCGAACAGG